rnacentral:rRNA from 1 species
UUUUAUGGAGAGUUUGAUCCUGGCUCAGGAUGAACGCUGGCGGCGUGCCUAAUACCUGUCUCUUAUACACRYCUMMGACKGCCYACGAGAYSKAKCUCUCCGUCUCGUSGGCWSSGUCAGAUGUGUAUAAGAGACAGNNNNACCUACCUAUAAGACUGGGAUAACUUCGGGAAACCGGAGCUAAUACCGGAUAAUAUUUUGAACCGCAUGGUUCAAAAGUGAAAGACGGUCUUGCUGUCACUUAUAGAUGGAUCCGCGCUGCAUUAGCUAGUUGGUAAGGUAACGGCUUACCAAGGCAACGAUGCAUAGCCGACCUGAGAGGGUGAUCGGCCACACUGGAACUGAGACACGGUCCAGACUCCUACGGGAGGCAGCAGUAGGGAAUCUUCCGCAAUGGGCGAAAGCCUGACGGAGCAACGCCGCGUGAGUGAUGAAGGUCUUCGGAUCGUAAAACUCUGUUAUUAGGGAAGAACAUAUGUGUAAGUAACUGUGCACAUCUUGACGGUACCUAAUCAGAAAGCCACGGCUAACUACGUGCCAGCAGCCGCGGUAAUACGUAGGUGGCAAGCGUUAUCCGGAAUUAUUGGGCGUAAAGCGCGCGUAGGCGGUUUUUUAAGUCUGAUGUGAAAGCCCACGGCUCAACCGUGGAGGGUCAUUGGAAACUGGAAAACUUGAGUGCAGAAGAGGAAAGUGGAAUUCCAUGUGUAGCGGUGAAAUGCGCAGAGAUAUGGAGGAACACCAGUGGCGAAGGCGACUUUCUGGUCUGUAACUGACGCUGAUGUGCGAAAGCGUGGGGAUCAAACAGGAUUAGAUACCCUGGUAGUCCACGCCGUAAACGAUGAGUGCUAAGUGUUAGGGGGUUUCCGCCCCUUAGUGCUGCAGCUAACGCAUUAAGCACUCCGCCUGGGGAGUACGACCGCAAGGUUGAAACUCAAAGGAAUUGACGGGGACCCGCACAAGCGGUGGAGCAUGUGGUUUAAUUCGAAGCAACGCGAAGAACCUUACCAAAUCUUGACAUCCUUUGACAACUCUAGAGAUAGAGCCUUCCCCUUCGGGGGACAAAGUGACAGGUGGUGCAUGGUUGUCGUCAGCUCGUGUCGUGAGAUGUUGGGUUAAGUCCCGCAACGAGCGCAACCCUUAAGCUUAGUUGCCAUCAUUAAGUUGGGCACUCUAAGUUGACUGCCGGUGACAAACCGGAGGAAGGUGGGGAUGACGUCAAAUCAUCAUGCCCCUUAUGAUUUGGGCUACACACGUGCUACAAUGGACAAUACAAAGGGCAGCGAAACCGCGAGGUCAAGCAAAUCCCAUAAAGUUGUUCUCAGUUCGGAUUGUAGUCUGCAACUCGACUACAUGAAGCUGGAAUCGCUAGUAAUCGUAGAUCAGCAUGCUACGGUGAAUACGUUCCCGGGUCUUGUACACACCGCCCGUCACACCACGAGAGUUUGUAACACCCGAAGCCGGUGGAGUAACCUUUUAGGAGCUAGCCGUCGAAGGUGGGACAAAUGAUUGGGGUGAAGUCGUAACAAGGUAGCCGUAUCGGAAGGUGCGGCUGGAUCACCUCCUUUCUAA